rnacentral:rRNA from 1 species
GCACCAGACUCCUACGGGAGGCAGCAGUGGGGGAUAUUGCACAAUGGGGGGAACCCUGAUGCAGCGACGCCGCGUGGGUGAAGGAGCGUUUCGGCGCGUAAAGCCCUAUCGGCAGGGAAGAAGGAGGACGGUACCUGACUAAGAAGCCCCGGCUAACUACGUGCCAGCAGCCGCGGUAAUACGUAGGGGGCAAGCGUUAUCCGGAUUUACUGGGUGUAAAGGGGGCGCAGACGGCGAUGCAAGCCAGGAGUGAAAGCCCGGGGCCCAACCCCGGGACUGCUCUUGGAACUGCGUGGCUGGAGUGCAGGAGGGGCAGGCGGAAUUCCUGGUGUAGCGGUGAAAUGCGUAGAUAUCAGGAGGAACACCGGUGGCGAAGGCGGCUUACUGGACGACAACUGACGCUGAGGCUCGAAAGCGUGGGGAGCAAACAGGAUUAGAUACCCUAGUAAA